rnacentral:rRNA from 1 species
UGAGGAAUAUUGGUCAAUGGGCGAGAGCCUGAACCAGCCAAGUAGCGUGCAGGAUGACGGCCCUAUGGGUUGUAAACUGCUUUUAUGUGGGGAUAAAGUGCGUGACGUGUCAUGCAUUGCAGGUACCACAUGAAUAAGGACCGGCUAAUUCCGUGCCAGCAGCCGCGGUAAUACGGAAGGUCCGGGCGUUAUCCGGAUUUAUUGGGUUUAAAGGGAGCGUAGGCUGUUUGUUAAGCGUGUUGUGAAAUGUAGGAGCUCAACUUUUAGAUUGCAGCGCGAACUGGCAGACUUGAGUGCGCACAACGUAGGCGGAAUUCAUGGUGUAGCGGUGAAAUGCUUAGAUAUCAUGACGAACUCCGAUUGCGAAGGCAGCUUACGGGAGCGCAACUGACGCUAAAGCUCGAAGGUGCGGGUAUCGAACAGG